rnacentral:ncRNA from 1 species
UUAUUGGUGAAGAUCAAGACAAAUUAGGACGAUAAAUUGUUUCAGAGAGCUUGUGGAUGGUGAAAACAAGUAACAAUCCGUUUUAAUAUCACUUGUGAACCUUACUUUUGAAAUCAUAGUAGAAAGUACGUAUUACGGCGUUAACGUAUUGAGAUUACAGAUCGUAUCUGUAAAUUAAGGUGGUACCGCGUUGAAGACGCCCUUAUU